rnacentral:snoRNA from 13 species
GAAUGAAAUGAUGAUUAUUGUUUCCCUAUUGGUUUGAUCUUGCCGCAAUGAUGGCAUCAUUGUAUUAGCUCUAUCUGAUCAUUC